UACAGGUGCAGCAUACCCCCUUUGGCCAUUUUUAGCAGAAUUCCAGAUAAGAUGUGUAAUGUUCUGUGGUUUGGACUGAUACAUGUGGUUGUAAGCAGGCUGGAUGCUCUGCGUAUGACUCUGAACAAGCUCGGGAGGAUGAGAGAUUACAUGCAGAACACUCUCCUACAAUUCACUUAAAAAUGAGCAAAAUGGAUAUGCCAUUAUGUACCCUGUGCCCACAGAGAGCCGACACAAGGGACACAUCACCCCUGUACAACACUAGCAGUGACACUUGCA